GUUGACAUUGAAACGUCACACAGAUACUUUUAAAAAAAUUGUGAUUUCUCCAAUAACGGACAAAUCAGCCCAGCAGGAGCAAACAGCCACAACCCAUCUUACGUCUGACAGAAGGGAAAAACAUUUGACUCUUUUCCAGGAUGAACUUGCUUGGCAUCUCACAGCAGGUAAAGCACUUGUAGGUGAUAUCAUUAAUUGCAGCUGCAGUCCUCUCUUGUAUCUGAUACGUUGCCCAGAUAUUCUCACUGACGCGUCUUGUUGGGAAACCAGAGCAGAACAACGGCAUCGUUUAUCUAAAAAAGCCAGACGACGCAACUGGUGCAACUUCCUGCGUGGUUACAAAGAAGCCACCGAGUUUCUCCCGCGGCUGCAGGCAUUUGAGGCAACGCGGGAGUCAGCUUGAGUUCUCCCGCUUAGGAGUCGAUCCUACACACAGAUAUGUGGCUGACGGAUGAUCCGGGGGGACUGUUUCUGCAGCACGUUGGUGGGUUCAGUCUUCUUGAGAGGACGAUAGCAGGACGCAGGAUGCAGCGGUGACUCUGGAGGACCCAGACAGCCUGAACAACUGCUGCGAGCAGGUGUUUCUCCUCUUCCUGAGCAGCUCGGAACUCUCUACAGAGUAAUUAACAAGAUACAUUUGCGCUGGGGGGGGUGGGGGUUAAGUAUGGAAAUUGUUUUCUUUGGGCGUCACAUUUUUAAUUGCAUUUUAAGAUUCAUGCAAGAUUCCUUUGACGGACGAAAGGUGAGGUCAUGGAUGCAGCGUCUACCAAGAGAGCCGCACUGCUCUGGACUCCUCGUGGUCAUUCAUCGCUCAUGUAUAUUUUGCAUGCAUGAAUAUGUGGAAGCCUAAAUCGAUUAAUAAUUCACUCCAGCUUGAAAAACGUGACAUGGCAUGAAUACAGUUUGUGUGUCAGAAAAAUAACUCCAAUGACCAAUGAUGAAUGAUGAAUGACCACCGGCACGCUAACUGUGUUAAGACCGGCUGCUGCUCCAGUGAUCGAGCCUUCUGAUUGGCUGGGUUCUGUUUGGGCAUUUAGCGGAUGGGUACACUGUGUAACAGCAUUAAUGUCAGCGAUGUUAUUGCUGCUACGCAGAUGUCUGGCCUCUGUGGUAAAGUACAGUUAUCUUGGCCUCAGGACACGGUGCUGUUGUUUAAGGUUUCUCGUUCAUCAGUCCUCGGUUUCCACGUGAAUCAUUUUAUGCUCCACACCUUGAAACUUUUGACCUCCUCCCUUCUCUUUGCCUUUCUUUACUUCAGGGCUCCGCAGUUCAAACACUACACACGCAGAAGGCUGCGAUUCUGAGUAACCGUGAAAUGCUUUAGAUUUGAGUCAGAUAUAAAAACGUGUUUGCCAGGAUGUUUUUUUUUUUCUCUCCGUGUCGGUGGGUGUGUGAGUGUUUGUAGUAUCCAUGAGUGUUUUACAGGGGUUUUGGGGUGGGGUAAUGAUUGGGAGUGGCAGGAUUUGAUGGAAUGGGGGGGAUUAAAGGGUGGGGAGGAAGAAGUGAGGCGAGGUGCAGAACUGGAAAGCCAAAUGGAGCGAGGAUCCCGCCGAUAAUUAACUCGCUCCAACAUGAAACUAUACAAAUGUUUAUGUUUUAUCCUUAAUAACACAAAUUGGCGAUUGAUUGAUGAUUUUCCGUGUGAUGUGUGAGUCGGAGGAGAGUUGUAGGAGUGAUGGUGCUGAGUUUACGUCCCCUCCUUUCUCGUUUGUUGUGUCUAAUGGAAGACAGCAUGUGUCGAUACGACGACUGAUUAGGAAACUAAGGGUUGUGAUCUGUCAGUAAAUGAUUCUACUGGUUUGUAAUGUCAUAAUAA
ensembl:lncRNA